UACGGAGGAUCCAAGCGUUAUCCGGAUUAUUGGGUUUAAAGGGUGCGUAGGCGGCCUGUUAAGUCAGGGGUGAAAGACGGUAGCUCAACUAUCGCAGUGCCCUUGAUACUGAUGGGCUUGAAUGGACUAGAGGUAGGCGGAAUGUGACAAGUAGCGGUGAAAUGCAUAGAUAUGUCACAGAACACCGAUUGCGAAGGCAGCUUACUAUGGUCCUAUUGACGCUGAGGCACGAAAGCGUGGGGAUCAAACAGG
rnacentral:rRNA from 1 species